CCUCCUCUUCCUCUCCUCCUCCUCCUCUUCUUCUCUCUUUUCUUGCUCCUCCUCUCUCCUCUUCCUCUCUCUCUUCCUCCUCCUCCUCUCUCCUCCUCCUCUUUCUCUUUUUCCUCCUCCUCUUCCCCUUCUCCUCCUUCCUCCUCUUCUCCCUCUUCCUCCUUCUCUUCCUCUCUCUCUUCCUUCUUUUUCUCCUUCUGCUUUUCCUCCUCCUUUCUCUUUCCCCUCCUCCUCCUCUCUUCCUCCUCCUCUUCUCUCUCUUCCUCCUUCUCCUCUUUCUCCUCCUCUUCUCCCUCUUCCUCCUCUUCUCUCCUCCUCCUCCUCUUUCUCCUUCUUCUCUUCCCCCUCCUCCUCCUCUUUCUCCUUCCUCCUCCUCCUGCAGGCAAUGCGAAGAGGGUGUGGGGGGGGGAAAGGAGAAAGGAGGGGCCUCCCUUCCUGGCUUUGGAAGAUGGCUUUGCAAAGAGACUGCAGAGAACCUGCUGCUUCUACCGCAGUGGCGUCUUUUCCUGGGGGUGAUUGAUCGGGAGGGAGGGUGGAGCCCAGCUGGGUGGGGAUCUUCGCGGGAAGGAAAAAGCGCCCGGCUGCUGGAUUAGCCUGAAGGCACAGAAGCUGGCCAGGCUGGCCGAUCUCUCCUUCCCCGCGCCACUCUUGAGGUGUGCCAGAUUCAGCCCUCCCAAGCUGGUGUCUUCCUGGUGUGCUGGAUUAGAGGCGCCCACCAUCCACUGAAGAGGUUAGGGGCCACCCUUAAACGUGCCCGAAAACCCCCACUUUGCUUCUAAAUAUAUUUGAUGGAUUCUCCCCCAGAA